AGCUGUUCUAUAUGCACCCAGAAAUGUGUGUCUGUGACAAGAAAAUACAAGCUUUUUUAGUUUUUUGAACUGUAUACUGUAAACCUCUGAAUAUAAUGCUCACCUCAUUCCAAAUAUAAGCCCCCCCCCCAAAUAUAAGCCCCCUGAAUACAAGUACCCUGAGUAUAAGCCCCUUGAAUAUAAGCCCAGUAUCCCACUAUGUUAUUUAACAUUGACAUUGUCUUUUAAUAUAGCAGAGAACGAUAUUUGAAACACUGUCAUUGUCUUUAUAGCUUACUAUGUUAAUGGAGUGUGUUAUUAAUACAUGUUUAUUUUCUUGUUUAUGACUGACUUGUUUAUUACUAACACAAUUGAUCGUCUAUGUAUAAGGCCCCUGUGCAUAUAAGCCCCCCCCCCCCUAAGCCCAUCAAAAAUCACUUACAAAAGAAUAUAAGCCCAGGGCUUAUAGUCAGAGGUUUACGGUAUUAUAUAUCCCAUAUUUUAACAAUAAACACAUUAUUUUUUAUAUUAUAUUACAUUAACAUAUAUACAUGGAUCACAUAUAAAGUCUUUAAAUGACAGUACAUU